rnacentral:lncRNA from 1 species
GAGUUGGGGGAGAGGACCAGAACCACCUGCUGGAGAAGGGGAGCUACGGGGGCCGGGCAGGGUCCAAACGCCUCACGUAGGCGGCGGCGCCACGGUCUUCGGGGUCACAGGGAAGAGAAGGGCUCUCCUCAAGCGGGUGGAAGGAGGGAGGCCUCCCGAGGGAGUGAGACUCUAGGCCACUCCCCCGCAGCAAGGCAGGAUCACCUGCGACGCGGAGAGCGGUUAGAGGGCCCUGGAGUGGAAAAGGGCAGUGGGACCUGGUAGCUUGGGUUCCCUGCAACUUGGGGUUCGACCUCCAGGCAAUGAAGUAGGGAUGGUCCUGCAAGUCAAGAUUCCAGUAGCAAGAGUGCAUCAGAUCUCUGUAAGGAAAAUAACUAACAUUGCUCAGUUCCCUGUAGAGUUGCAGGGCGCUUUAACGUUAUCUCCCUUGGUUCUCCAUCAGGUCGUAGUGGACUAAUUUUACAGGCGAAGUUAAGUGACUUACCCAAAACCUCACAGCUAAUAAACGGCAGAGCCGGCACCCAGCUGUACUGGCUUCCAAUUCUGUUAGCUUACCAGCGCAUCACAUUAUCUCCAUAAAUCCCCAUGAUUCAACUAAUAUUAGACGCCCCACAGGUAAGAUGCUUCAGAGUUAGAGGGGAGUUGAAGAUACCUUUGCCUUCAAAGAAGUAAGGAAUAAAACAAAGAUAAAACAGACAAUAAAAGACAAACCAUGAUAGGUGCCACGUGAAAAGUGGCAGAGUACUGCCGGGAAUCAAAGAACCGUGUAUAUCUGUCUUGGGGAUAAGGAAAGAAAGGCAGCAUGAAGGAGUAGGCAUUUGGGAUUGACCUUGAAGGAGACAGGGAGAGUUUUACAGCAAGCAGGGAUAGCAUGAGAAUAUAUAUGAAGGCGAAUCAGUGAAAGUUGUGUUGGGGAAAGAGCAAAGACUCCAGGGUAUGUUGAGAGGUAGAAAAGACAAAGGAGUAUGGGGCCUAAGAUACCAAAUGGAUGAAUUUAUAUUUAAUUCAGUAUUUUGAGUUUUUAUGGUUCAGAAGUUUGGGGGAAGAAAAGGAAGGUUUUUUUUUUUCUUUGUGCUAGUGAUUUAUCUGUGAGGGGAAGCAGAAAUCAGAGGUGGAAAAACGGACAGAUCUACUGUAGGCCAGGUAAAAAUGAUGAGUCUGACCUAAAGGGACAGCUAGGGGAAUUUAAAAGAGCAUAGUUGAGAGAUGAUGUGCAUGCAGUAUCUAUAGAAUUUGGCAACUGAUUGAUUAAUUGUGGGUAGGAAGAGAGAAAUCAAAGAAAGUGGAGGUUUUGAGUUUGUAGAUAAUUGCAAGAGAGAAAAGAGACAAUUACAAAGGAGAGGGAGCUACUUCUUGAGAGAUCAGUUUAGAUUUGGACAUUUUAAGAAUUCAAAGGGUUGUCAAGACAGCCAGAGAGACAUGGACACUAAUAAGUUAGAAAUAAAGGUUUUGUAAUAUGGGAAAGAGGACUGAACUAGAAAAUAGACUCAUAAAUAAUCAGCCUAGGAGUGAUAUUGCUGUGAGAUAAAAGAAGAAAACAAAGGUCAGAAUCUUGGAAAACACCCUCUUUAGAGUCUCGCUACUCAAAACGUGGUCAGUGGCCCAGCAGCACUGACAUGAGGAUGUUAGUUAGAAACUCAGAAUCUCAGGCUCCACCCCAGACCUGCUGAACCAGCAUCUUCAACUUAACAAGAACCCGAAGAGAUUUGUGUCACAUCAAAAAGUUUGAGAAGCUCUGAUCUAGGUGAGCCAAGCCAGCAAAGAAAGGGGAUGGAGCAGAAAAUGGGAGGAGAAUAGGGUAACGCAGAAUCAUCAAGACAAGGUAAAUUGGAGUUUCACAAAAACAGGGCUGGAAGGAGUGUUGCUCAACAAUAUCCAAAACCACAGAGGUUGAAAAGCACAAGGAAAGAAGGUAUGUUUGCACUUUGUGAUUAGGUAGUAGGGUCUUUGAGACCACAUUGUUCUUAUUGAAAGCCUGGGAAGAAAGAUCCCCUUUCUGGUCAAGUUUAGUCUAGGGAUCCAUCCCAUCUUCCCCAGUUCCCACGUGUAUGGGACAUGUCGAGAUAAGUAGAUAGAUUGGACAGUGGGAGAAAGUAGUUCUCUUCCAGUUGCUUCUAUUUUCUCAGCAAAGUGAGGAGCAAGAUCAUUUUGGCAGACUGCUAAUUGUCCAUCACAAUUUAGUCUCCCUUUCUCCCUGAAAACACAGACUGCUUUUCUCAGCCUCUCUUUCAGUUGCAUAUGGUCAAGUAUUAAGUUAUAGAACGUGAGCAGAUGUUAUGUCUGCCACUGUCAGGCCAAGGCGUUUACUUUGAGAGUACUUGUGCCUCUUUCAUGCAUUUUCCUUUCUGCCAGCUGGACCCUGGACACGGUGACUCUGAUUCAAUUAUGCAGAUGACCACAAACCUCUGGGGUUGGCAGAGCCACAAGAAAGAAGGUGCCUGGAUGAAGGAGAGCUACCCACUGACCUGGACACCCAAUUAUAGGAUAGACAGUGAAGUGCAACUACAGCCCGCAAAUGAAAAUGAAUAAUAUUAAUCCAGCCCCUCAAGGCAGGCGAGUAGCUGCUGUCAUCUGUCUUAGAGCUAUUGGAAUCCUGGAUCAUUGUGGGAAAUGAAAGGAACUGGUUUUUAGCAAGGAGACCAAGAAACUCUACUCCCUAGGGGCUAGCAAUGAGAGAAAGGAAGCCUUAAGUCUUUGAGCACAGGGUGACAGUUUGGGUCCUAUGUGAGAUGAUCAAAUCCACAGCAACAGAGGAAAGGACAAAAGGAAAAGAUACUUCGAUGGAAUCAGCAGCCAUUGAUCCAAUGCCAACUCCAAGACUGGAACGUCGCAAUGAUAGUUCCAAGGCGGAAAUUUGACGUAAUUCUUUUCGACACAGUUUUACAGACGAGAAACCCCAGCUGAGGAGGCAAAUAUACUCAAGGAAAGUAAUAGUUUCCAAAUGCCUGGCAGUGCCAGGAAGGGGCCAUGUCCAUGGACCACUAUGUAAGGAUAUCUCAGUCUCUAGUCCAGCGUGGUUUAUGGUGCCAAAUAAGUGCCAGGUGAACUCACUACAUCUGACAAAAUCUCAAGGAACCAAGUUUACCAGAUAAUAUUUAUGAUUAUGUGAAAAAGACUGAGGAAAUCACUCAAGUGAUCCAUCAUACAGCACCUCCAGUUCCAAAGAAUACUG